rnacentral:rRNA from 1 species
UACGAAGGGGGCUAGCGUUGCUCGGAAUCACUGGGCGUAAAGCGCACGUAGGCGGUCUUUUAAGUCAGGGGUGAAAUCCUGGAGCUCAACUCCAGAACUGCCUUUGAUACUGAGAGACUUGAGUCCGGGAGAGGUGAGUGGAACUGCGAGUGUAGAGGUGAAAUCGUAGAUAUUCGCAAGAACACCAGUGGCGAAGGCGGCUCACUGGCCCGGUACUGACGCUGAGGUGCGAAAGCGUGGGGAGCAAACAGG